rnacentral:lncRNA from 1 species
AUGUUUUCAGUCUGUCAGGGGUCUGAAAACCUAUGUCAGAAACCUAUGCAAUUUUUAAAAAAAAUAUAUUUAUCAGUUUCAGCUUUUUAUACUUCUGCGUUGUUUUACUUUUUUUUUGUCCAAAAGUCAACUAACAUAGAUGAUUGUAGAGGUAUCUCCUCAGAGAAGCUUACCAAAGCUGGUUCUGUCCAGUCAGUGUCUGUUCAAAUAGCCCCAUCAGUCAGACUGGUCCAGUCAGUGUCUGUAAUAAUAGCCCCAUCAGUCAGACUGGUCCAGUCAGUGUCUGUAAUAAUAGCCCCAUCGGUCAGACUGGUCCUGUUCUGUCCAGUCAGUGUCUGUUCAAAUAGCCCCAUCAGUCUGACUGGUCCAGUCAGUGUCUGUAAUAAUAGCCCCAUCAGUCAGACUGGUCCAGUCAGUGUCUGUAAUAAUAGCCCCAUCGGUCAGACUGGUCCUGUUCAGUCCAGUCAGUGUCUGUAAUAAUAGCCCCAUCGGUCAGACUGGUCCUGUUCAGUCCAGUCAGUGUCUGUAAUAAUAGCCCCAUCGGUCAGACUGAAGAGCUGCCGACGAAAGGCGUCUGCUUUCCUGUGAGGUGGAGAGGAGAGGACCCUAGGGGCUGUAAGCUUGAUCAGAACCUUUGAAUGGGAGGAUGGAGUGACAUUUUAGGUGUUCUAAGCCGUCUGGGCAAGGCGCAAGGUUAAAUCGUAGAUUAGGCAAGUGUGUCUUUCUGUCAACACGAUGGUCACGAUUGGUCACAUCUGGAUGGCCCCCAGCUGCAAACCAGAGAGAGAACCAAACCAUUGAAUUGCUGAGGUCAGGAAUGUUCUGCCGGUGACCCUGUGGAACUCUGUGGGCCGGAUCAAGAAUGUUCUACCGGUGACCCUGUGGAAUUCUGUGGGAUGUCACCAUUAAUCAGUCCUUGGCUGACUGUUGUGUUCUCGGUUCUCUGUCCUGUUAGUGCCCUUCGGUUGCCCCAAGCAACCAGAGAGAGGUCAAUGUUUUUUUUUUUUCUCUCUCUCGUCUUCCAUUCCAUCUGAAGUUCCUCACCCGAGGUUCCAUCAGAGAGUUACCUGCCCAGAAAACGGCUCCGGUUCCACACGCAUCUGUGCCAGGGCUCUCUGGGCAGUGUGUUGAUGUGCAUGGUAUGGUCAGUGUGUUGGUAAUGUGUGUGGUAUGGUCAGUGUGUUGGUGAGGUGUGUGUGGUAAGGUCAGUGUGUUGAUGAUGUGUGUGGUAUGGUCAGUGUGUUGGUAAUGUGUGUGGGAUGGUCAGUGUGUUGAUGAUGUGUGUGGUAAGGUCAGUGUGUUGGUGAGGUGCGUGUGGUAAGGUCAGUGUGUUGAUGAUGUGUGUGUGGUGAUUCCUGUCGUGUCAUGAUAUGUCAAUCAUUGCCGGAGCCAAAGAAGUCUGUUGGCGCUUUAGAACUCUCUGAAUGUAUUACUCUUCCUCGUGGGCUGUGGAGUAAUAAAGAACCCUUUUUUUGAAGAACUUCCUCCUCU